CCUUCUUGCUAAGAACAUUUUUCAAGAAAUAAAGCAAUUGGGAAAAUGCCUAAAGCACCAAACUAACCUGGUGACUUGAAGAUUUACUUCAAACUUGAAAGAAGACAAUUUGGAGGAACUUUUAUUAGAGAAUGUAUACUAGGAUUACUAGGAGGAAAAAUUGAUGCCAGAUGGGAAGGAGAUCAAGGUGAUGGACAAGUUCAAUUUUUUGACAGACUACAUUGAGAGGAAUAUUGGAAAGAUUCAGUCUGAAUAUUAUUAAACAUUUUUCUUUUA